UGGGGAAUAUUGCACAAUGGGCGCAAGCCUGAUGCAGCCAUGCCGCGUGUAUGAAGAAGGCCUUCGGGUUGUAAAGUACUUUCAGCGAGGAGGAAGGCGGUAAGGUUAAUAACCUUAUCGAUUGACGUUACUCGCAGAAGAAGCACCGGCUAACUCCGUGCCAGCAGCCGCGGUAAUACGGAGGGUGCAAGCGUUAAUCGGAAUUACUGGGCGUAAAGCGCACGCAGGCGGUCUGUCAAGUCGGAUGUGAAAUCCCCGGGCUCAACCUGGGAACUGCAUUCGAAACUGGCAGGCUAGAGUCUUGUAGAGGGGGGUAGAAUUCCAGGUGUAGCGGUGAAAUGCGUAGAGAUCUGGAGGAAUACCGGUGGCGAAGGCGACCCCCUGGACAAAGACUGACGCUCAGGUGCGAAAGCGUGGGGAGCAAACA
rnacentral:rRNA from 1 species